rnacentral:misc_RNA from 1 species
UCCGACUUAACGUCGGCAGUCCCUUUAGAGUGCCCAACUAAAUGCUGGCAACUAAAGGCAAGGGUUGCGCUCGUUGCGGGACUUAACCCAACAUCUCACGACACGAGCUGACGACAGCCAUGCAGCACCUGUGAACCGGCCCUUGCGGGCGAGGACAUUUCUGCCACUCUUCCAGUCCAUGUCAAGCCUAGGUAAGGUUCUUCGCGUUGCAUCGAAUUAAACCACAUGCUCCACCGCUUGUGCGGGCCCCCGUCAAUUUCUUUGAGUUUUAAUCUUGCGACCGUACUCCCCAGGCGGGAUACUUAACGCGUUAGCUUCGUCACUGAAGGGGUCAAUACCUCCAACAACAAGUAUCCAUCGUUUACAGCGUGGACUAC